GACGAACGCUGGCGGCGUGCUUAACACAUGCAAGUCGAACGGGUCUGCCCUGUUUUUUGCGGGGUGGGUCAGUGGCGAACGGGUGAGUAACACGUGAGUAACCUGCCCCUCACUUCUGGAUAACCGCUUGAAAGGGUGGCUAAUACGGGGUGUUCUGGCUGUGCCGCAUGGUGUGGCUGGGAAAGAUUCACUUUUGUGGUGUUUUGGUGGGGGAUGGGCUCGCGGCCUAUCAGCUUGUUGGUGGGGUGAUGGCCUGCCAAGGCUUUGACGGGUAGCCGGCCUGAGAGGGUGGGCGGUCACACUGGGACUGAGAUACGGCCUAGACUCCUGCGGGAGGCAGCAGUGGGGGGUAUUGCACAAUGGGCGGAAGCCUGAUGCAGCGACGUCGCGUGAGGGAUGGAGGCCUUCGGGUUGUGAACCUCUUUCGCCGGUGAAGAAGGUCCUGCUCUUUGUGGUGGGGUUGACGGUAGCCGGGUUAUGAAGCGCCGGCUAACUACGUG
rnacentral:rRNA from 1 species